CUUAUCUCAUUUUCUAGCGAGGCUUGAAAAACAACAACAUCGAUUUGAGUUAAAGUACAAAAGUAAGUUGAGAUAAAAGUAAAAAUUACAACAGCUCUUGGAAUUAGACGCUUUUUCCUGUGCAAGUGUAAAACAAAAGUUGAAGCUACCAUCACGAUGAGAGCCUCGGUUAUUGCCCUUGUUUUAGGCCUUAUGUUGGUCACGUGUCUUGUGACACUGUCAGUUGCUGAGAUCUGUUUUAACACUAUGCCCUGCCCAAACCCUUGUAUGAUCAACCCAUGCUCCGACACCGAGCGCUGUGUGCCGUGUAGCUGUAAUGCCAAAUGUGUUCCAAUAUAAAACAGACUCCUAGAUCCAACUUUUUCAAAACCUAGACUCUAUUUGUUCAACAGGUAGUGACUACAAAUCAAAAAUACAAAUUUGAAAAUUGAUUUUUUUUCUUUAAAAUAAAUUCUAAAGGAUUUUUAAAAUUAUUUUUUACCUAAAAUUUGUGACAAUUUUGACUAUGAAUUAAAUGUGUGACGUUGUUGAUUUAAAUUAAAAUGUGUGACAUUUA